AAUACACAUGUAUUACUAAAUUAGUUUUGAGUCUUUUGACCCAAACAAUUACAAAAUUACUACUACUAGUAAACUGCGUGAUUAUUACCAUAAACAGCCUGGUAAUUGGUAAAUACAUUAAAUAAUGUUGGAACGUGUUAUGAAAAUAAGGAGAAAGUAUGUAUUUUUAUUAGACAGUAAAAAACUCUUUAUAUAGGAAAUUACAUAAGUAUUAAAUCAUAAUAAAAUAUGGGCUAGGAAAUACAAAUACAUAAAAAUAUGUGCAUUCGAAUAUGGGAUUCCACCAGACCUUGGUUUAUAAUACUCCCUCUUGAAAGACCAUCUCCGAAGUGGUUUGUAAUACGCUUUGGAUGCUGCCUCAUUAAAACCUUACCAGGAAAACUCAAUGGGAUAAAACCAUGGUGAAGGAAAAAGAGUACAACACGUAUUGCUCCCCCUGUUGAUUACAUCUCUGGAUGUCAAUAACGCCUUAGUAAUUAGAUCCACCAAAUCUUCGCUUGAGUGAACUUGGACGUACAAACAACCUGUAUCACCAAAAUAAUUUACCCUUCUUCGGGUAGGUUAAUAUCAAAUGGACCCAAGUCUUUAGUUC
rnacentral:lncRNA from 1 species